ACAAAUAAUACCUAUUAAUUGAUUAAUUUCUUUUUUUUUUUUUUAUUUGUAUUUUUAAUUUUUAAUAUUAUAAAUUAUUAUAUUUUUAAUAAAAAAAGAUUAAAAUCAAAUAAAAAUAUAAAUUUAAAAUUAAAAAAUUUUAAUUGAAAAUGAUAAGUAAUUUAUUUUCAAUUUUUGAUCCAUCAACAAAUUUAUUUAAUAUUUCAUUUAAUUGAAUUAGAACUAUUUUAGGAAUUAUAUUUAUUCCUUAUUCAUUUUGAUUAAUUCCUAAUCGUCAUUUCUUACUUUGAAAUUUUAUUUUAUUAAAACUUCAUAAUGAAUUUAAAACUUUAUUAAAAAAUAAUUAUUUUCAAGGAUCAACUUUUAUUUUUAUUUCAAUAUUCUCAUUUAUUUUAUUUAAUAAUUUUUUAGGUUUAUUUCCUUAUAUUUUUACUAGAACAAGACAUUUAACAUUAUCAUUAUCAAUUUCAUUACCUUUAUGAUUAAGAUUUAUAAUUUAUGGUUGAUUAAAUAAUUCUCAACAUAUAUUUAUUCAUAUAAUUCCUCAAGGAACACCAACUAUUUUAAUACCUUUUAUAGUAUUAAUUGAAACAAUUAGAAAUAUUAUUCGACCUGGAACUUUAGCAGUACGAUUAACAGCUAAUAUAAUUGCAGGACAUUUACUAAUAACUUUAUUAAGAGGAACUGGACCUUCAAUACCAAGAUAUUUUAUUAUAAUUUUAGUUAUAAUUCAAAUUUUAUUAUUAAUCUUAGAAUCAGCAGUCGCUGUAAUUCAAUCUUAUGUAAUUGCUAUUUUAAGUACUUUAUAUUCUAGAGAAGUAAAUUAAUGAAAAUAAAUUUUAAUCACCCAUUUCAUUUAGUAGAUUAUAGACCAUGACCUUUAACAGGAGCUAUUGGAGUAAUAGUUUUAGUUAGAGGAAUAGUAAAAUGAUUUCAUAAUUUUAAUAUAAAUUUAUUAAUUUUAGGAUAUUUUAUUGUAAUUUUAACCAUAUAUCAAUGAUGACGAGAUAUUUGUCGUGAAGGAACAUACCAAGGUAAACAUACAAUUUUAGUAACCAAAGGACUUCGCUGAGGAAUAAUUUUAUUUAUUGUAUCAGAAAUUUUUUUUUUAUUUCUUUUUUUUGAGCCUUUUUUCAUAGAAGAUUAGCCCCUAAUAUUGAAAUUGGAGCUAUAUGACCUCCUACUAGUAUUACACCUUUUAACCCAUUUCAAAUUCCUUUAUUAAAUACUAUUAUUUUAAUUAGAUCAGGAGUAUCAGUUACUUGAGCUCAUCAUGCAAUUAUAGAAAAUAAUAAUUCUCAAAUAACUCAAGGUUUAUUUAUUACAAUUAUUUUAGGAAUUUAUUUUACAAUUCUUCAAGCAUAUGAAUAUUUUGAAGCUCCUUUUACUAUUGCAGAUAGAGUUUAUGGCUCAACAUUUUUUAUAGCAACAGGAUUCCAUGGAUUACAUGUUAUUAUUGGUACAUUAUUUCUUUUAAUUUGCCUAAUUCGUCAUUUAAAUAAUCAUUUUUCAAGUAAUCAUCAUUUCGGAUUUGAAGCAGCAGCUUGAUAUUGACAUUUUGUAGAUGUAGUAUGAUUAUUCCUUUAUAUUUCUAUUUAUUGAUGAGGAAAUUAAUUA